UUUUAGUUGUCAGUUGGUAGUUGUCGGUUGUCAGUUUGUUCAAGACUAACAACUGACAGCGAACAACUGACGACUAC
rnacentral:misc_RNA from 1 species